rnacentral:ncRNA from 2 species
UUCUUAUCCAGAGAGGUGGAGGGAUAGGCCCUGUGAAACCUCGGCAACAGAUUCGUAAUGAAAACUGUGCCAAUUCCUACAGGAGUACCUGAGAGAUAAGAA